GACGAACGCUGGCGGCGUGCUUAACACAUGCAAGUCGAACGGAAAGGCCCGGCUUUUGUGGGGUGCUCGAGUGGCGAACGGGGGAGUAACACGCGAGUAACCUGCCCUUGACUUUGGGAUAACUUCAGGAAACUGGGGCUAAUACCGGGUAGAAGCUCCUGAUGCAUGGGGGGGGUUGGAAAGUUUCGGCGGUGGGGGAUGGACUCGAGGCUUAUCAGCUUGUUGGUGGGGUAGUGGCUUACCAAGGCUUUGACGGGUAGCCGGCCUGAGAGGGUGACCGGCGACAUUGCGACUGAGAUACGCCCCAGACUCCUACGGGAGGCAGCAGUGGGGAAUAUUGCACAAUGGGCGGAAGCCUGAGGCGGCAACGCCGCGUGCGUGAUAACGGCCUUCGAGUUGUAAACCACUUUCUCCGGUGCCGAAGCGUGAGUGACGGUAAUGGGUAAAGAAGCACCGGCUAACUACGUG
rnacentral:rRNA from 1 species